rnacentral:rRNA from 1 species
AUUUGAAAGCUGGCGUCUUCGACGUCCGCGUUGUAAUUUGUAGAGGACGCUUCGGCGAAGACUCCUGCCUAAGUCCCCUGGAACGGGGCGUCAUAGAGGGUGAGAAUCCCGUAUGUGGCGGGCAGUCUAAGCCAUGUGAAGCUCCUUCGACGAGUCGAGUUGUUUGGGAAUGCAGCUCUAAAUGGGAGGUAAAUUUCUUCUAAAGCUAAAUAUUGGCCAGAGACCGAUAGCGCACAAGUAGAGUGAUCGAAAGAUGAAAAGCACUUUGGAAAGAGAGUUAAAAAGUACGUGAAAUUGUUGAAAGGGAAGCGCUUGCAACCAGACUCGCUCGUAGUUGCUCAGCCGGCCUCUUGGCCGGUGUACUCUUCUACGAUCGGGCCAGCAUCAGUUCGGGCGGCAGGAUAAAGGUGUCGGGAAUGUAGCACCCUUCGGGGUGUGUUAUAGCCCGGCGCGGAAUGCUGCCAGCCUGGACUGAG